rnacentral:rRNA from 1 species
UGGGGAAUUUUGGACAAUGGGCGAAAGCCUGAUCCAGCAAUGCCGCGUGUGUGAAGAAGGCCUUCGGGUUGUAAAGCACUUUUGUCCGGAAAGAAAUCCUCUGGGUUAAUACCUCGGGGGGAUGACGGUACCGGAAGAAUAAGCACCGGCUAACUACGUGCCAGCAGCCGCGGUAAUACGUAGGAUGCAAGCGUUAAUCGGAAUUACUGGGCGUAAAGCGUGCGCAGGCGGUUUUGUAAGACGGAUGUGAAAUCCCCGGGCUUAACCUGGGAACUGCAUUCGUGACUGCAAGGCUAGAGUAUGGCAGAGGGGGGUAGAAUUCCACGUGUAGCAGUGAAAUGCGUAGAGAUGUGGAGGAAUACCGAUGGCGAAGGCAGCCCCCUGGGCCAAAUACUGACGCUCAUGCACGAAAGCGUGGGGAGCAAACAGGAUUAGAUACCCUGGUAGUCCACGCCCUAAACGAUGUCAACUAGUUGUUGGGGAUUCAUUUCCUAGUAACGUAGCUAACGCGUGAAGUUGACCGCCUGGGGAGUACGGUCGCAAGAUUAAAACUCAAAGGAAUUGACGGGGUCAUAGCUGUUUCCU